rnacentral:rRNA from 1 species
CGAAAGUUAGAGGAUCGAAGGCGAUCAGAUACCGCCCUAGUUCUAACCAUAAACGAUGCCAGCCAGCGAUCCGGCUGUGUUCCUCAAAUGACACGCCGGGCAGCUUCCGGGAAACCAAAGCUUUUGGGUUCCGGGGGAAGUAUGGUUGCAAAGCUGAAACUUAAAGGAAUUGACGGAGGGGCACCACCAGGCUUGGAUGUUGCGGUUCAAUUUGACUCAACGCAGCAAACCUUACCAGGCCAGGACACAAGAAGGAUUGACAGAUUGAGAGCUCUUUCUUGAUUUUGUGGGUGGUGGUGCAUGGCCGUUCCUGGUUCGUGGAGCGAUUUGUCUUGUUUAUUCUGAUAACGGACGAGAUUCUAGCCUAUUAAAUAGACGCUUAGAUCCUUCGAGUCUAGCGUAUCUUCUUAGAGGGACUGGCGGCGUUUAGCCGCACGAGGCAGAGCAAUAACAGGUCUGUAAUGCCCUUAGAUGUCCUGGGCCACACGCGUUCUACAUUGAAUGAAUCAACGUGUGCUUUCCCGGUCCGAAGGGACUGGGUAACCCGUUGAACCUCAUUCGUGCUGGGGAUAGGAAAUUGAAAUUGUCUUCCUUGAACGAGGAAAUCCUAGUAAGCGCGAGUCAUCAUCUCGGGUUGAUUAGGUCCCUGCCCCUUGUCCACACCGCCCGUCGCUAUUACCGAUUGAAUGAUUUAGUGAGGUCUUCGGACUGGCGCUCGGAUUGGCUUUCGGGUCGAGCCGGCGUGCCGGAAAGAUGACCGAACUUGACCAUUUAGAGGAAAUAAAAGUCGUAACAAGG